rnacentral:antisense_RNA from 1 species
CUUUACGGUGGCUCGGGCGGGGAGGUCGCAAGACCUGCCGGUGCUCCAUCGGUCCGCCAACCUCGUUCGGGCUGCCACCUUC